GGAACUAUAGGUUAAAAUUAAACCAUUGGUUUUCAAAACCAAAAAUGAAUAUUCUAGUUUCG
rnacentral:tRNA from 1 species